ensembl:miRNA
UGUGGAUAUUCUUUUUUGAUACUACAGCAAAACUCAGCAAGUUGUAGUUUUUUAAAGGUUUGUUUGUAAA